UCUUUCUCUUUCUUUCUCGUUCUUCUUCUCUUUUAUUUCUCUUCCUGUUCUUCUUCUUCUGCGAAUUUUAGAGAGUCAAAUGGAGGUUUUAUGAUCAGCAGAAGGUGGAAAAGAUCAUGCAGUAGUCGUCGGUGAUGGUGAUGGUGUCUGUGGUGGAUUCAGACUCGAAGGAAGAAGAGAUUUAGAAGCUAGGGUUUGGAAAAAGAACUCAGAGAAUGAUAAGAAGAUGAAAUCGAUAUUCUAAGAUGUUGUUAUGAGAUGGGUUUGAAUUGAAUUAGAGUUUUAAGUUGAAGAACAAUCUAAAUUUGAUAGUUGGGGUUGUGAUUCUGUUUGAGUGAAGAUUUUGGGAAUUAGCUGUGAUGAACUUUGGAUUAGGGGUUAUCUGGUGAUAAGCUGAAACGAAUCAAUCAAUCUAAGAAAUGGGUUGAUUUCAACUGGUGGAGUUAUUCAGGUGCUGAUACAAACACAGAGAGAUUGUGGGAAAAGGUAAUUCAGAGUCUCUUAUGUGUAAACUUUCUUCUAAGGUUCAUAGAAUGUAUGAAUGGAUUAUAGCUAGUAGAAGAAUAGGUUUGUGUAAUUGUUUUCUAUAAAUCGUAUUUCUUAUUGAAUUGAGUUGGAUGAAGAGAAUUACGGAUUCUGUGAAUUAAUUGGGAAUGCAAGUUAAGUUUGUUUGAUACAGAAAUGGUGUUAUGUAGUUGAGGUGGAACCAUAGUGUGUAUGGAAUUGGUGGUGGCUUGCUGGAAUUACUGGUGGUGCUGGUGUAGAAAAUUGUAGGUAAUAAGAAGUGAGUAUGAUCUCAAUUGAAGUGCAGAUGGAGUCAUAGUGUUAUGAUAUAACUGAGUUAGUAACACUGUUGAGAUUGUUGGUGGUAUUGAACUGGAUUUGUUGUUUAGGUUGGUGUGGAUUGGAGUUGUUAUGGUUUGGGUGUUUGAGUAGAUGAUGUAUGAAUGGGGGUUACAGGUAGUGGUGGUGUUCUUAUUGCUGUUGUGGUGUGGUGGAAUGCAGGGAAGGAUUAGAAGUAUGUUAAUAGAGGAUAUGUGAAGAUGUAUGUUAAGAUUUGGAGAUGAUGACGAUAUUGAAUUGGCAGUGUCAAGAUAAUGAUGUUACAGUGGCAGUUUAGUUUUGUUGGUGGUUUAAGAUGAUGGUUGUCUGUGUGUUCAAGUUGCGGGGGAUAUGAGUGAUAUGCUGAAGUUGUGAAGGUGCAGUUUGUAGUUAUAAUGGAUCUGAAUUAGGUUGUGUUGAAGUACAUAGAGCUUGGGUUAUAAACUGAGUUGAGGUUGAAUUAUGAGUUAGGUCUGCAGAGGGUUGUGAUUAAGUUUGGUGAUGAAUAUAGAGUUGCAGUUAGAUUGCUGUGAAAGCUUGGAACUGCAUUUGCAGUUAGUCUAUAUUAAGAACGAUCGAUUCAAAUGAUGAACCAGUGGAUCGUGGAUCUCGAGGUAGGCGUGGUUUGUCAUCAAAAGAGGAUUAGCUCCUUCGCAUUUAUACAUAUUAUAUGUUUAAUCGGUGUGGAAUUGGCAUCAAUAUUACUAAUCGGUGUGGAAGCGGGCAUCAAUAUUAUACAUUGUUUGAAGAAGGAGUUUGUCCAUAUACCUGUUUGUUUAUUUCAGUGACUCGGUCCCUUUUUUUAAUGUUCGCGGAAAACAUUAUUGUUUUCCAAAUCUUGCCUUGAUUACUUAAAAGUUAAAUGUUAUUCCUACGGGGCACCCCUUUUAGGGAUGAUGUGCUCACUCAUUCCCACUUUCAGUUUCAAAGACAGAUCAGAGUUGUGCAGCAAAAGCUCCGAGGAGUUGAGUCCGUUUGUUAGAUUACUUCGGCUAGGUUUAUUAUGUUGCAUAUUAUAUUUGAAAACUAUAUGACUAUUGUAUAUGUAUCAUUUGAGAGGAGUUCUUGUAUAUAGAUAUUUCUGAGUGGGUUAAGUUUGUAU